AUUGAACGCUGGCGGCAGGCCUAACACAUGCAAGUCGAGCGGAUGAAGAGAGCUUGCUCUCUGAUUUAGCGGCGGACGGGUGAGUAAUGCCUAGGAAUCUGCCUGGUAGUGGGGGAUAACGUUCCGAAAGGAACGCUAAUACCGCGUACGUCCUACGGGAGAAAGCAGGGGACCUUCGGGCCUUGCGCUAUCAGAUGAGCCUAGGUCGGAUUAGCUAGUUGGUGGGGUAAUGGCUCACCAAGGCGACGAUCCGUAACUGGUCUGAGAGGAUGAUCAGUCACACUGGAACUGAGACACGGUCCAGACUCCUACGGGAGGCAGCAGUGGGGAAUAUUGGACAAUGGGCGAAAGCCUGAUCCAGCCAUGCCGCGUGUGUGAAGAAGGUCUUCGGAUUGUAAAGCACUUUAAGUUGGGAGGAAGGGCAGUAAGUUAAUACCUUGCUGUUUUGACGUUACCGACAGAAUAAGCACCGGCUAACUUCGUGCCAGCCGCCGCCGUAACAC
rnacentral:rRNA from 1 species